rnacentral:tRNA from 4 species
GGAGAGGUGCUAGAGUGGUCGAAUAGGGCACACUCGAAAUGUGCUGUUGGGGGAUUCCUCAACCGUGGGUUCAAAUCCCACCCUCUCCG